AUUUUUAGAGCGCCAUAUAUUAUCCACAAUUAACUCACAUAACCAGCCUCUCCACUAAUUAGGGUUUUGAUUAAAUAUUAAAACAAGAAACAUAAUACUACGUACCCUUAUACAUCAUUCCAUCAACCUCUGAAUCGAAGAACUAGAGCUUCUGCAGAAGUUGCUGCUGCUGGAUUGAGGUUCUGUUUGUGCUUCUGUUUGACAGAUGAUGAUAGGGUUAUGCAUCUUAAACUGGUUGCGAUUGUAAAAGAAUGGCACCUGUUAAUCAUCCAGAGGUAGAAAGAAAUAUUCCAAAAAGUUCUCUGCUUUGCAUCAUCAUCACCAAAAUCUUUGUGAUUUAAUCUUUGGGGUUCUUGUUCUUCAUCAUUAUCAUCGUAUUAUUAUUAUUAUUAUUAUUGUUAAAUGUUAAUAUCGAUCUGGGUCACCGACUGCUUUGUGGGUUCUCUAUUUCAUUGAUGAGAAGAAUAUCCAUUGGGGUUUAUUGGGAUUCACCAUUCAGCAAGAAGUCGUAGAACAACGGCAGAGAGAGGUGGGUGGGGAGGAGAGAGAAGCGGCGGAGAGAAGGGGUAGAGAAGGUAGAGGAGAGAGAGGAAACCAUAGUGGUGGUUAUAGUGGAAGUGGAUGAAGGAGAUGGGUAGAUAAGGAGUGUGUUUAUUUAUAUAUAUUUUUAUUUUAAUUAAUUUAGUUUUAGUGUAAAAUUACCAACUUACCCUCAUGUGCAAGGCACAUGUCAUACUUAACUGAAAAUUUUGACAAGGUUAGUGUUAAAGGACGUAAGGUGUAAUGUGUUUUACAAAUAAAGGAUUGUGACUGUAAUUAUUAAAGUUAAAGGUCAUCUAUUGCAAUUGCAAUCUGAUACAAACAUAAAAGACAAAAAGUGUAAUUUACCCAAAAUAAUAUAUAAAAACAUGUCUCUCUCUCAUCUCUGUCUCUCUCUUUUCCACCUUUAGUCCCUAAUUUUCUAAAAUUACAACUAUAGUUCCCAACUUUUCAAUUUCCGUACAGGGACUAUCUGUCACACCCCAACCGAUGGCGGAAACAUCGGAGAGAGACGAAAUAGAUUGCUCAUUACACAUAACACUAAAAUUUGCGAUGAGUAUUUAAAUGAUGAAUUUCAUUUUAUUACUAUAAGAAUUUGAUUACAGCAUGGAAAGGAAAGUACAAUUAUAACAACUUGAAAUAAAAGAAUUGCAUUACAAUAAGUAUACAAAAUUUGAAAUGAGUAUCUAGGCAUCCUACUAUGUUCCAUGCAUCAUCAACAUCAUCAUUAAACCUACAACAUGUUUUAAAAGCGUAGUUCUAUACAAAAGUAUUGGCGAGUAUACAAGUUUGGUGUACUAGCAUAAUAGUAUAAAAUGGUAAUGAACAAUCCACAUAGCAAACCUAGUUAUCAAGAUUAACGUAUAAACCGGCAUGUGAACAAACAAGUCAAACCAAAGAUUAACGCAAGUAUAAAGAAUGAUUAACUUAACAUGACCUCUCAUUCACGGGUGGUGCGUUACUCCUACAGCGCUAUACAUGUUAAUGGAGGCUUGAUCGAAGUUAAUGACAAGUUCAUCACAUAAGAAUCACCCAGAAAACAUGAAUCAAGCAUAGCAAAUAGUAAGCAUGUAUUGGAUUGUUAUUUGUAUAAUUGCAUAAGAAUAUGAAUGCUAAAUGUGUUUUGUAUAAAUAAACAUGUUACACCCAAAAAGUGUGAAAACGGUAAAAUGGGUCAAGUAUACUCACAAAAUUGCUAAGUCUUCCGAUUAUCCAAGUGUUAACGAGUGAAUGAGAUUUGGAGGUUGAAUGCAUUCGGAUUAGAGUUCAAGGAAUGUUUAUAUUCGGCAUUAGGAAUUUAAGGUACAUAAAGUAUGUAUGUAAGAAAGUAAUCAUCUAGACUUAGUACUCGGUUUUGACACUAUAAACCCGAAUGGGUUAGAAUGAUUUCAUGGGUUUAAAUGCCCAUUAGAAUCGUAACGAGAAACUAAGAAUUUAGAUGAUGUAACUUAGUACCAUGACGAAUAAUCACUUGAUUAUCAUCAAGGGUUCGGUUAUUAUAUUAUACUAGUGGGAAACCUGGGCGUUGCGGCGGAGUCAACCAUACAUCACUUGGAAAAGAGCAAAGCAUGCGAACUUGGGUUGGGAUGAGUUAGGUUUGUUGAUCAAGAAUGCAUCUUAUCGAAACAUAUUGAAUUUGUAGGAACUUAAAAGGGGCGGGCUCGAAAAAACAAAUUGGAACAGACAAAAAUCACCCAAAUCAUGGUAUCCAUGGUUUAUAUUAUUGUUUGUAAUGGUAUUGUUUUUCCACAUUAAUAAUGAUAGAACUAAAACAAAAGAGGGUUAACGGAUCAAUCUAUGUUAGGUCAACACCCGAACACAUUUAACUCUUUAUGCAACUUAUCUAACUAGCCCACCUUGCCAUCUUUAGCUUGUACUUCAAAGGAUGACAUUGAUUCAAAAGAAAAAUUACCAUGUGUAUAUGAAUAUGCUCAUCCAGUCCAUCCCUUGGGAGACACCUCUGAAUUAAGUAAAAAUACAAACAAUACAAUUAGAAACUAAUAUUAUAUGUCUAAACAGCUUUUAGACAAUUAGCCUUAUUAUUUCUGUUUCAGUAGGGGAAUCGACAUCAUGUUAUAUAGUUUGAAAACUUUAUUAUAAGAUCAAUCUGAAUG
rnacentral:lncRNA from 1 species